ACUACAUGAAGCUGGAAUCGCUAGUAAUCGCGGAUCAGAAUGCCGCGGUGAAUACGUUCCCGGGUCUUGUACACACCGCCCGUCACACCAUGGGAGUCGGAAAUGCCCGAAGUCGGUGACCGAACCGAAAGGAAGGAGCCGCCGAAGGCAGGUCUGGUGACUGGGGUGAAGUCGUAACAAGGUACC
rnacentral:rRNA from 1 species